rnacentral:lncRNA from 1 species
AUUUGGAAUUACGAGGAGGCGACAUUGCUAAUAAUCACGAAUAUCCAAAUAAAGGGAUAUCAAAACUAUGCUUAGUGAACGAGCUUCUGCUUGUAGCCUCAAGUGACGGAAAUGUGCGAAUAUGGAAAGAUGACAUUUCUAGAGGCAAACAAAAACUCAUAACCGCGUUUUCUUCUAUUCAUGGUCAUAGACCUGGUGCCAGGAGUGUUAGUGUUGUAGUUGAUUGGCAGCAGCAGUUUGGUUAUAUGGUUUUACAUUCCGUUUGGUGCAUUCUUAAUAUCAAUUAUACAACUUACACAUGCAUGGAGUUGUGGACCUGCGAUUUUUUUCACCUACGGGUUGAAACACAGGUCCAACUCCUUUCAUAGUUGAUACACAGUCGGAACACAUGUAACCUUAAUUUCUUUCAUUGAUUGGUUCUUGGGGAUGACAGUGAUGGUGGUGAUCUGCAUCCCACCACAGGUGACCCUAUUUUCAUUCAAUGGUUAUAAUGGACAAGAAGAGCAAAUAAGGGAACAAUAGAAUAGAGGGAAGGUGCCUGAAAACAAAUAUGUACACAACAUAGCAGGUCUAAUUAAG